rfam:Cucumis melo, WGS project CAJI01000000 data, contig: 11914
UGGCGAUGAUUAUAUGUUUAUCCGCGCUUCCGAGGUUAAACAAUGAAGCUAGACUAAAUGAAAGGUUGAAUUUCUUAGUAUGAGCCA